ensembl:lncRNA
GGAAAUCAAAGAGAUCAAGUACAACCUGGAAGACGUAGCCUGUCUGACUUUCCCGCAGAAGUGCUUUGCAGCAGCAAAGUAAGAAGAACAGAUUCUGUCUGUGCAGAAGCUCUGAGGUGCUGGUGAAGGUUCUGGAGCACAAGUCUUAUGGGGAGCGACUGACAGAGCUGUGAUUGUUCAGUUUGGAGAAGAGGAGGCUCAAGACCUUAUUGCUCUCUACAGUCACCUGAAAGAAGGUUGUGGCAAGAUGAGGGUCAUCCUCUUCUCCCAGGCCUCGGUGUCUCCCUUCCGUUGGGCAUGGAGAUGUUCUACACAGAGGAGCUCACUGCAGAGCUGAACUACAGGCAGCAGCACACCCUAUUCACACCGUGUGUGGCCUGGCAGCAAUACCAACCUAUGCCCGAGGAGCCCUGGAGCUGCACGUAUGACUGUGCCAAAUGAAGGGGCUUGGUGAUGUUACAGAAGGGUUUGUAGAAAGUCUUCCCACCUUGCACCUGGAACCUGAGACCAAAGAUCUUGUGCUGGAUUUCAUCUGUGAAAUUUGGGAUUUAAAGAGAGAUGCCUACAGAUGUGCUGCAAGGAGGAACCAUCUGUAUCAGGUGCUAAACCACAGCAAAGAGGUAGAAAAGUUCAGCUGAACUGAAGAGAGCUGCCUCUCUCACACAUGCUUUGACCAGACAGAACCAUAGAAUUAUUAAGGUUGGGAAAGAUGAGUUCAACCCUCAGCCCGUGUCCUAGUUUCAGCUGGGAUGGAAUUGUUGUCUUCAGAGUGUCUGGUAUGGUGGUCUGUUUUGGUUCCAGGAGGAAAACAAUGGUGAUGACACACCGCUGUUUAUAGUUGCUGCUAUGCAGUGUUGCACUGAGCCAAAGCCAUUCUCAGCAAAGGACCCCGAAGAGUUGGGAGGGAACAGAAUUAGGACAGCAGACUUAAACUGGCUAACGGGAUAUUCCAUACCAUAUGACAUCAAGUGGAAGGAAUUUUAAAGGGAAUGGGAGUUCAUCUGGCUCUCUUCUGCUGCUCAUGAGGGCUAGUCAGACUUCGGUGGGGGGGUGGUGAGCAAUUCCUUGUGCAUCACUUGUUAUAUACAUUCAUACACAUAUAUAGUCAUAACCAUUAUCCUUUUCUUUUUCUCUAUCUAAGGAAAUAGUUUUAUCUCAACCCACGAGUUCUACUUUUUUUCUUUUUUUCCUGAUUCUCACCCCAUCCCACUGGGAAGUGGGGGGAGUGAGUGAAUGACUGCGUGGUUUUCAGCCACCUGCUGGGUUAAACUACAACAACCCAUCACCACCAUGCACACUAAACCAUGUCAAUCAGU